GGGUCAGUAGGUUGGUCGUGCCACCGGUACGUACUGGUCUCACCGAUUCCUCCUUCCUGAAGAACCGUAAUGCCAUUAAUUUGGUGUUGCGGGGAAACAGGACUGUUACUUUGAAAAAAUUAGAGUGUUUAAAGCAAGCUAACGCUUGAAUACAUUAGCAUGGAAUAGUGAAAUAGGACGAUCGAUCCUAUUUUGUUGGUUUCUAGGAUUGACGUA
rnacentral:rRNA from 1 species